rnacentral:rRNA from 1 species
AAGGGUACAAACGUUUAUUCAUAUUUACUAGGUUUAAAGGAUACGUAGACUGUUUCUUAAAGAAACUAGAGUUAAAUAGAUGGUUCUGUAACUAAUGAAAGUACCGAUAAAAAUGGGUUGAGAUUAUUAGGAACGUUAAAGGCGAAAGCAAGAAUCAAAGGUAAUGACUGACGUUGAGGUAUGAAGGCUAUGGAAGUGAAAAGGAUUAGAUACCCUUGUAAUCUUAGCUGUAAACGAUAUUGAUUAGUAAUUAGAUGUCUUAUUGGGAUAACCUAGAUAAUAAGACACGUUAGUUAUUGUGAAGAAAUUCUUAAAUCAAUCACCUGAAUAGUAUAGUCGCAAGGCUGAAACUUAAACCAUUUGAGAGUUGUUAUUAGCAGAGUGAAGUUUGAUGUUUAAUUCGAUGAUCCACGUAUAAUCUUACCAUAUCUUGUAUAUUCAUAUAAUAUGAUUACAGGUAUUGCAUGGUUGUCUUCAGUUCAUUCCGUGAGGAUAGGUUUAUUCCACCAAUGAACGUAACUCUACUCCUUAUUUAUAUAAUUAAGGAUGGUCCAUUAAGAAAAUGGAUUUAUUAGAAUUAAGACAAAUCAUUAUGGUCCUUAUGAUAUGGGCUACAAUCGCGCCACAAUGAUAUUUACAAUAUUAAGCAAUCUUCUAUAAAGGAAAGCAAAAAGAAAAGAUAUCAAGUUCGGAUUAUCCU